GACAGAGGGUGCAAACGUUGUUCGGAAUUACUGGGCGUAAAGCGCGUGUAGGCUGCUUCGCAAGUCGGAUGUGAAAUCCCCAGGCUCAACCUGGGAACUGCGUCUGAUACUGGAUGGCUUGAAUUUGGGAGAGGGAUGCAGAAUUCCAGGUGUAGCGGUGAAAUGCGUAGAUAUCUGGAGGAAUACCGGUGGCGAAGGCGGCAUCCUGGACCGACAUUGACGCUGAUGAGCGAAAGCUAGGGGAGCA
rnacentral:rRNA from 1 species